CACACACGACCGUAGCAAGAGAAGAAAGGGGAAAACCCUUAAGCUUAACGAAUUCAGCAAAUUGAAGAUGAUUUAAGGACAAAUUCGAAUGCAUGUCUUUAAUUUCUCAAUCAUCUAAGUAUCCUCAACCCUAGGGGCGAAGAAAGAAGAAGGUACAAGUCAAUCCAAGGCACUAGGAACACGAGAUCACGGUAAAGCCGUACUUUAAACGAGCGCUACACUCGGAACGAACACACUCCAUGAUGCCCUUUACGCGCUUCCGGUUUACGUUUAGUGUCAAUGGGUCAAACUACUUUCGAUUGUAAAUGUUGUUUUAAAUGUUUAUGUCUUUUAUAAGUAAGUUUAAAGUUUAUACUUUAAAUAUGUUAGAAUUGGUCAGAAUUUAUAUUAAGUUACGAAAGUUCAAAAUUUUAGCGUUUUUACAUGAUGUUUGACCA